CCAUUUGAAUAUGUGAGUCGAUGAAUAUAUUUUCAUUUUUAAAUAUUUGUCCAACACUGAACAUACAAUUAAAUGUUUUACUAGACUACUAUGAAACUUCCUUUAUUAUUGUGUUCUUUGAAUGAGUCUUCACAAUGGCCAGGAAAUGUCAGAACUGAACCAGGGACACCGAGACGUAUCGAGACCUAAGGUAGAUUCUAUCGAGUUAUAAGUAUAAAUAGAAUAGGAAAGCUGUGACAAUAAGUAACCCAUAAACUUUGUUUCAUUCCCAUGAAUGCACAUUGGAGAUAUAUUCUCUGGGAUCAUUCAAUGUCUCUCGAGACAGCAGAAACUAAAGAUCUCCUGAAAAAUAAUUCUUCUGUGAAAAAAUAUUGCCUUUUAAUUAAAAUUUCGAUCAGCCAACGCAUCAAAACACAAGAUUACAAACAGAAUUCCAUCGAAGUCACCAGUGGAUCAAUGGACCAGGAAUAUUUAAGCCAUAGUCUUGUUUUGAUCGUUUAAAUUAAUAAAAUUGUAAAAAAAAAUCAUUUGGCGUUUUUUUUUAUAAGACUAUUCUAACUCUUCUGGAAUAAGUAGAGUAGAGAUCCAAAUGAUCACCUUGUCACAUCACUAUUUAUUUAUAUUGUGAAUGUACCUAUUAGUUAGGAAGCACGAAGUACAUGGUAUAUUCAUGCUCAUGAUGUUUCACGUGAGAGACAAGAAUCCACAGUUGAAUUGUGGGGUGUUAAUCACAUGGUAAUCCAGUAGUCGCCAGGUCCUUAAGCUGUUAGGAUGUCUAACGUAGUUGAUUCAGUGAUUUAAUAUCAAUUAUGUACUUAGAAUAUUUCAUUGGACACGUGUAAUAUAAUACGUAUUUCUUUAUGGCUGGAGUUGACAGUUUUAUGUGUAUCUUUUUUAUGGAUAAUAAAAGAACUGUCUGCUA